AACCUAUCAUAGGCACUAAAGAGGAAAAGCCUUUGAAGCAGGCGUUAGUACAUGCAAUGUUAUAAUUCAUAUGAAUAUGAGGUACAAAAGAAGAGGUGUUGAUGUUUUAAAAACAUUAAUGGCUAUUUAUUGAUAUUGCAGACCACCUAGAGAAUGCUAAAUUGAACAUUUAGUGACAGAAGAUUUUCUCCUGGAUACUUUAAAUACAUAAAAACUUGGCAGAGUUUUUAUGAAAUAUAAAUUUUAUUGUAUUCAUUUACAUAUUAAAAAAUAGACUCAGAGGCGGAAAAACUUCCUUGAAAUUGUUUGUCAUUUGUUCUACAGUUACUUACUGAAGUCAUUACUAUUUACCAAGCAUCAUGCUAGGUGCUAGGCUUACAAGAGUGAACAAGGAGACAGGGUUCCUGUCAUUAUAGAGCUUAAUCUACUGGGGAAGAUUGAGUGGGAAAGAUUGACUUAAAUAAAACAGUAAGUUCAGAAAGUUAGGAAGUGUUGGAGUCUAUAUUUAAACUUAGGUAUUUUGACCCAAAAGCCUGUACUGUUUCUAACAUACCAUGCUGAUGCUCUAGCCUCCAUUUUAUAUGCUUAAACUUAUUAUGGGGCUUUUAAAUAGAAUAUGUAUUAUCCUUGCCAGGGCAAAAUAUAAAGAAAUAAUUGACUGCCUGCUAUAUCUGUCUUCACCUUUCUAUCCCUAUUAUCUGUUUUUUUAUUCCUCUUUUUUGUCUCCCUUGUUUCUUACCCUGACUUAUGUAUGAAGAUCUCUAGUAUUUCUUUACUAUUGUGAGGAUGACCAGCGGAGAGGCUAGACAGCAACAAGCAGAAUUGGCCCAACAGGAAUGGCUUCAAAUGCAGCAAGCUGCCCAACAAGCCCAGCUUGCUGCUGCCUCAGCCAGUGCAUCUAAUCAGGCGGGAUCUUCUCAGGAUGAAGAAGAUGAUGAUGAUAUCUGAAAUUCACCAGCUGAGUUUCUAUUUCUUCUAUAAAUGUUUUUCCCUGCACAACAAAAACAGUGAAAGAAAUGCUUAUCUGUAAUUUUGUAUGCAUCUUGGUGGACUUGUCAUUGGUAUUCUAGGGAUGUCUGCUAUUAAGUUUCAUCUAUUGUGUGCUAUACAUGUAAAAACUGUCUCUUUGAACUAUUGAAAAUUUAAGGUUCAGUAUAAUAUCAAUUUUGAAUUUUUAAUGGUGUUUAUGAAAUUUUAGAUAGCAGCGAGUCCUUCGUUUGAUCAAUAAACAGUGUUACAGAUAA
rnacentral:lncRNA from 10 species